AAAGAGAAUGCAGAUGUCUUGACCUCAGGUCUGUCUGUUCUGUCGGCAAGUAACGCAGUACUGUUCUGAUCUGCUGCUAUUAGAAUGCAUUGUGAAGCGACUGGAGUAUGAUUAAAAGUUGUUCCCCCAAUGC